CCAGACAGACGGGCCUUGAUCCCGUAAAACAUUAAUUAACAGCUAAUUACCCAAACCAGCGGGCUUCCAUCUG
rnacentral:tRNA from 1 species